GGCGCUUGUGGGCUACGGUCAAAAAAUGCUUCCCUUAUAUGUUAAGAAAAAAAAAGGAAAAAACCUUUACCAGACAGUAAAACAACUCAUAAAACUGUCAUGAGUAAUUCCAGCAGCUGGGCUGAAAUGCAAGGCCGCCCACAGCACCUCCGCUUCUCUGUGACAGAGGCACCAGGAGGACCACGGAUCUUCCUGAGAGUCCUAGAGAAACAAGAGCUCUCGGACCUGCACAGAACCUGUGACCAACUUAUACUCAGCAUGCAAACAGUCGCCUUGUGUGGGAACUAUUUGAACUUGAGGAGGGAAAUUCCCUAAUUAAAAGGUUCCUAAGCCCAACUUCUGCAUACGCAUUCCUUCUAAAGCAUGUUAAAUACGGAGACUUCUGGACUUCGAUGUCAGAGAUCUAGUGCCAAGAGCAUCAGUGGAGUCUAGGAACCUACAUUGAAGAAGUUUUCUAUUUUUCUAUUUCUAUAUUUUGUCUUUUUGGCUUUUCUAGGGCUGCACCCACGACAUAUGGAAGUUCCCAGGCUAGGGUUCUAAUUGUUGCUGUAGCCACAGCAACGCAGGAUCUGGGCCAUGUCUUUGACCUACACCACAGCUCAUGGCAACGCUGGAUCCUUAACCCACUGAGUGAGGCCAGGGAUUGAACCUGCAACUUCAUGAUUCCUAGUCAGAUUUGUUAACCACUGAGCCAUGAGGGGGACCCCAAGAAGUUUUCUAGAAUGGGCAAUUACUCAGCUAUAUAAAUAACACUACUGACAUAAGAAACAACAUGGAUGAAAUAUCAACAACAAUAUUCUGAGCAAAAGAGGCAAGACACAAAAGAGUAAACACCACAUCAUUAUGAUAAUAUGUAUAUAUUACACUAUGUGAUUAUAUAUAUGUGAAGUGCUAAAAUAAACACAACUAUCUGUGCUGAUAGAAAUCAGACUGGUGGUUGAAUAGGGAAGUGGGUUAAACAGUGGACUGACUGCAACGGGGCAGUAUACAUUUGUCAAAACUCAUCUAACUACAUUUUAAAUUAUGUGCACUUGAUUGCAUAUAAAUUGCACCUCAGUCAAGUUGAUUUAAUAGGAUACCUCUUGGGUGAUUCAAAUGUGCAUCCAAGUUUGGGAACCACUGACCAUUUGCUGAUGAUCACAUCUUCAGUGCAUUUGAGUCAUAUGGGGCUUCUUUUUUGGCAUUUCUACUUCCAUUGAGAGAAUUUCUGAGCCCCAGGGCACCAUCAAGAACAAGCUGUCUGCCUUCUGAGUUUUCUGUAUGAGAAACCAAAGCUCCAGAACGUGGAGAGACUUUUUCAAAGCCAGACAGUGAGAUAUUAUCAGCAGGUAUCACCUAAGAAUCUCGGUCCUGUCAGCACUUUUUCUUUUCUCUCAGUACCACACUGUAUUCAAAGGAGUAAGAAAAGGAAAUGGCCAGUAAGUGUUCCUUGCUCUAAUUUAGCUUCUUUAUUCUCCAUUGCUGUGUCUAGGACAAAGCUACUUGGUUACCUGAACCAAAGAAAUGGAAUGGUUGAAAGACAGGAUUCAGGUUUGUUCACUGACUCAUUUAACUAACAAUCAACCCGUAUUUGUUGAGGCCUUGCUAGUCACAGUUCUAGGUACAAGAGAUUCAGUAAUAAUCAAGGCAGACACGACGAUCCCUGCCUUCAAAGAGCUUAUAUUAGAGUCCAUAAUUAAGAAAUAAAUAGGAGUUCCUGUGGUGGCGCAGUGGUUAACGAAUCCGACUAGGAACCAUGAGGUUCAGGGUUCGAUCCCUGCCCUUGCUCAGUGGGUUAAGGAUCCGGCGUUGCCGUGAGCUGUGGUGUAGGUCACAGAUGUGGCUUGGAUCCUGCGUUGCUGUGGCUCUGGUGUAGGCCGGCAGCUACAGCUCCGAUUGGACCCCUA
ensembl:lncRNA